GCUGGCGGCGUGCCUAACACAUGCAAGUCGAACGAGAAAGUGGAGCAAUCCAUGAGUAAAGUGGCGACCGGGUGAGUAACACGUGACUAACCUACCCUCGAGUGGGGAAUAACUCCGGGAAACCGGGGCUAAUACCGCAUAACAUCGCAAGAUCAAAGCAGCAAUGCGCUUGAGGAGGGGGUCGCGGCUGAUUAGCUAGUUGGCGGGGUAACGGCCCACCAAGGCGAAGAUCGGUAUCCGGCCUGAGAGGGCGCACGGACACACUGGAACUGAAACACGGUCCAGACUCCUACGGGAGGCAGCAGUGGGGAAUUUUGCGCAAUGGGGGAAACCCUGACGCAGCAACGCCGCGUGGGGGAUGAAGCCCUUUGGGGCGUAAACUCCUUUCGACUCGGACGAUAAUGACGGUACGAGUGGAAGAAGCACCGGCUAACUCUGUGCCAGCAGCCGCGGUAAUACAGAGGGUGCGAGCGUNGUUCGGAAU
rnacentral:rRNA from 1 species